rnacentral:rRNA from 1 species
CCUACGGGUGGCAGCAGUGGGGAAUAUUGGACAAUGGGGGGAACCCUGAUCCAGCCAUGCCGCGUGUGUGAAGAAGGCCCUCGGGUUGUAAAGCACUUUCAGUGAGGAAGAACGCCUGGUGGUUAAUACCCAUCAGGAAAGACAUCACUCACAGAAGAAGCACCGGCUAACUCCGUGCCAGCAGCCGCGGUAAUACGGAGGGUGCGAGCGUUAAUCGGAAUUACUGGGCGUAAAGCGCGCGUAGGUGGCUUGAUAAGCCGGUUGUGAAAGCCCCGGGCUCAACCUGGGAACGGCAUCCGGAACUGUCAAGCUAGAGUGCAGGAGAGGAAGGUAGAAUUCCCGGUGUAGCGGUGAAAUGCGUAGAGAUCGGGAGGAAUACCAGUGGCGAAGGCGGCCUUCUGGACUGACACUGACACUGAGGUGCGAAAGCGUGGGUAGCAAACAGGAUUAGAUACCCCGGUAUUC